AUGCGGGAGCCCCGCGGGGAGCGCGCCCUGGAGGAGUCCCUGGAGCGGUACCAGAGGCGCCUCCGAGAGCGUGCCAGUGAAAGCAUCUCUCAACUAAAACAUGCCUUGGCAAAAGGUGAUGGCACUGGAUUUGACCAGUCCUCAGUGGAUGAGGACAGUGACAACGCAGACAGGGUCAGUGAUGACUGUGGGACUGCAGCCAGUCAGGAACUGCAGCACAGUCAUGCAGUUAACCAACUUAAAAUUUUGUUGCAACACCAAGAAAGAAUGGAAAGCGAAGAGUCUCCCUCAAGAAGGAAAAAUUCAUUCCAUAAGCCCCCAGAAGAUGUGCCUGCAGACCUACCAGCCCUUUUCGAUCUUGUUCCUGUAAUCUCUGAUCAGUCACAGUACAUUAAACAUUUGGAAGCAGAAGUGAAGUUUUACAAGGAGGAGUUGUGUGGUGUAAAAGAUCAAGAACAGGCAGUUUUACUUGAAAAUGAGGAACUCCAUCAGAAGCUGAAAUUCUUAACUGCAGAAUACAUGUUGAGAGAACAAACUCAUCUUGAUGCCUCAGCAAAUACUCAGAAAUCCUGGCCUGUAGGUGGUAAAGGCUAUAGCACCCACCAGCCUGUCACCUCCUCACUGGCACAAAACAGAGAUCAGGCUUUUGUGGCACCAGCUUCUGGAGACAAAGCCAGAUGGCCUGUAGAACUGGAGAAUCUAAAACUUCUUUAUCAAGAAAAAGUCAAUAUCCUUGAUGAUCAAAUACAGUCUCUAAGAAAAGACCUUUCAGAAUCUCAGAAGACAUGCAAAGAUUUGGAAGGAAGGCUGAAACACCAGAAGUCCCUGUUUGCAGCCAGGAAUUCUGGCCAGGUUGGUGGUCUGUGCCUGAACUGUGCCCAGCACGAGGCCAUUCUCGCACAGACUCACUGCAAUGCCCACGUGCAGACCAUCGAGAGGCUGACGAGAGAAAGAGAUGACUUGAUGGAUGCACUUGUUUCAGUGAGACAAAGCAUAAAAGAGAUGCAGCAAAGAGAAUCUAAUGCUUGUAAGCAAGUUGAACAUGCUGUGCAAAUGGCAGAAGAGGCCAAUUUUGAAAAAACAAAGGCUCUCAUCCACUGUGAACAACUGAAAAGUGAGAUGGAACGCCAGAAGAAUUAUCUUGAAAAGGAGUUGGCUGCCCAGCUAAAUAAGAGGGCUGAUGAAAAAGAAGCACUGCGGCGGGAAAUGAAGAAGGAAAGGGAGGACUUGGCAGCAAUGGUGACAGCUUUGUCUAAGGAUGUGGCUGUUCUGGAGGCCCAAAUAGAGAGAAUUACAAGGGAAAAGAAUUCUCUAGCUAGCCAGUUAGAAGAAUCACAGUGCCAGCUUGCAUCUCAUGAGAUGGAGAUGAAUAAGGUGUGUGGAGAAAUGCGCUAUCAGUUGAAUCAAACCAAAAUGAAGAAGGAUGAGGCAGAAAAGGAGCUCAGAGAGUACAGAACAAAAACUAUAAGGGAGCUUGAAAUUAAGGACCAGAAAAUAGAAAAACUGGGAUUAGAGCUCAAUGGGAACAAACAGCGUUUGGAACAAGCCCAGCAGGAUGUGACAGAAGCCAGAGAGGAGUGCCUAAAACUGACAGAACUGCUGAGUAAAUCUGAGCACCAACUGCACCUCACCAGAUUGGAGAAAGAGAACAUUCAGCACAGCAUUAGCAAUGAAGCAAAGGCCCGAGCCCUUCAGGCCCAGCAAAGAGAGCAGGAGCUGACACAGAAGAUGCAGCAAAUGGAGGCCCAGCAUGAGAAAACUGUAGAAGAACUGGAUUCAUUGCUGACCUCCCAGAAUACAUUCAUAGCAAAAUUAAAGGAAGAAUGUUUUGUAUUGGCAAAGAAGUUGGAACAAAUGUCAGAAAAAUACAGAUCUGAAGUCAACCAGCUUAGUCAGGAAAAAGAGUAUCUUCAUGGCAGAUUGGAGAAGAUGCAGAAACGGAAUGAUGAAUUGGACCAACAAUGUAUCCAGCAUGGGAGAAUGCAUGAGAGAAUGAAGUCAAGGUUACAGGAGCUUGACAAGCACUGCCAGGCCACUGCCCAGCAGUUAGUGGAGUUGCUCAACAAACAGAAUCAGCUCUUCAAAGAGAAGCACCUGCUUACAGAAGAGGUGCAGUUUCUGAGAACACAGGGAAAAAAAUGGGAUGCAGAUCUCAAACAGGACACAGAUGGAAUGAAGUAAAAACCUGGAUGAAUAAAGAGAAAUGAGCAGAAGCUACAUGAGCAUAUUCAGGACCUUGCAAAGGUCUGCUCUGCACCUGGCUGAAACUUGUCUGAGGCUCACCCAAAGACACCUCUGCAGAAAACAGGCACACUUGCUAGCUAAUUUCAGCUGGUUUCUAUUUGGUUUUAACUACAGAAUCACAAAUAUUUUGAAGCCUUACCAGCCUACCAAACUUUCUAGGAUGACAGUUGAGACUUUUCUGAAAAGACUAGGCUUGCAAGCCAGUUUUAACAGCUAUUACAUAGUGUGGAUGUCAAUAAUUUGUACAAUGUUUAUAAAAUGUUUUUAUCUAUUUUCAUAAUUGAACAUACAUGUCUAUAUUAUUUACAGACUGAAAUACCAAUAAACCUAAUAGGUUCUCUA